rnacentral:rRNA from 1 species
CAGCAGCCGCGGGAAAACGUAGGUGGCAAGCGUUGUCCGGAAUUAUUGGGCGUAAAGGGCUCGCAGGCGGUUUCUUAAGUCUGAUGUGAAAGCCCCCGGCUCAACCGGGGAGGGUCAUUGGAAACUGGGGAAACUUGAGUGCAGAAGAGGAGGGUGGAACUCCACGUGUAGCGGUGAAAUGCGUAGAGAUGUGGGGGAACACCAGUGGCGAAGGCGACUCUCUGGUCUGUAACUGACGCUGAGGAGCGAAAGCGUGGGGAGCGAACAGGAUUAGAUACCCGCGUAGUCCCUGUCUCUUAUU